rnacentral:rRNA from 1 species
UACGUAGGUGGCGAGCGUUAUCCGGAAUGAUUGGGCGUAAAGGGUGCGUAGGCGGCCUGCUAAGUCUGGAGUGAAAGGUACCGGCUCAACCGGUACAGGCUCUGGAAACUGGCGGGCUAGAGAGCAGGAGAGGAAAGCGGAAUUCCUAGUGUAGCGGUGAAAUGCGUAGAUAUUAGGAAGAACACCGGUGGCGAAGGCGGCUUUCUGGACUGAAACUGACGCUGAGGCACGAAAGCGUGGGGAGCAAACAGG